rnacentral:rRNA from 1 species
GUACACUCCUACGGGAGGCAGCAGUGGGGAAUAUUGGACAAUGGGCGAAAGCCUGAUCCAGCAAUGCCGCGUGAGUGAUGUAGGCCUUAGGGUUGUAAAGCUCUUUUACCCGGGAUGAUAAUGACAGUACCGGGAGAAUAAGCCCCGGCUAACUCCGUGCCAGCAGCCGCGGUAAUACGGAGGGGGCUAGCGUUGUUCGGAAUUACUGGGCGUAAAGCGCGCGUAGGCGGCUUUGUAAGUUAGAGGUGAAAGCCCGGAGCUCAACUUCGGAAUUGCCUUUAAGACUGCAUCGCUAGAAUCGUGGAGAGGUGAGUGGAAUUCCGAGUGUAGAGGUGAAAUUCGUAGAUAUUCGGAAGAACACCAGUGGCGAAGGCGACUCACUGGACACGUAUUGACGCUGAGGUGCGAAAGCGUGGGGAGCAAACAGGAUUAGAUACCCGUGUAGUCCCA